AUUGCUUCUCGGCCUUUUGGCUAAGAUCAAGUGUAGUAAAGCACUUCUAAUAACCAUAUUUUAUAACAUAAAAAUUUCAACAUUU
rnacentral:snRNA from 1 species